AUUUCCAUUGCUGCACCGUAAGUCGUCAGCAGGGCUUAGAAUUGCUGGAGAAUUGACUUUGUGAAAAGACUAUCCUGUCUUGAAAUUCCAUCUCUUAGUUUUCCUUAAGAACAUACAGAAACC
rnacentral:other from 1 species